UGUUGACAGCUGUGCGUGGGCAGGGGGAAGCCAGAGGAAACUCUGGUGGAGGUCGUCAGUGGCCCUGUUGUGCGAAUCGGUCAUCACAACUGGAUACUGGGGCAAAAGAGUAAUUGAACCAUAUUGUAG
rnacentral:ncRNA from 1 species